rnacentral:rRNA from 1 species
GUGGGGAAUAUUGGACAAUGGGCGAAAGCCUGAUCCAGCCAUGCCGCGUGUGUGAAGAAGGUCUUCGGAUUGUAAAGCACUUUAAGUUGGGAGGAAGGGCAGUAAGUUAAUACCUUGCUGUUUUGACGUUACCGACAGAAUAAGCACCGGCUAACUUCGUGCCAGCAGCCGCGGUAAUACGAAGGGUGCAAGCGUUAAUCGGAAUUACUGGGCGUAAAGCACGCGUAGGUGGUUUUGUAAGUUGGAGGUGAAAUCCCCGGGCUCAACCUGGGAACUGCCUCCAAAACUACUGAGCUAGAGUACGGUAGAGGGUAGUGGAAUUUCCUGUGUAGCGGUGAAAUGCGUAGAUAUAGGAAGGAACACCAGUGGCGAAGGCGACUACCUGGACUGAUACUGACACUGAGGUGCGAAAGCGUGGGGAGCAAACAGGAUUAGAUACCCGAGUAGUCC